rnacentral:lncRNA from 1 species
AGGUCUCUUUUUUGUGGUAUUUUUGGAUCCUUACCAAGGCAUUGAUGGUAUAUGCCUUCUCUCAAGAUAUGUAGUAUUUGUGGUAUGAGGCAUAGUGACAUUGCCUUUUCUCUCACCCUACUCUAAUAAGGCUUUAAUAUCUGGAGUUCAUAGGUGGGAGAUAAAGUAUACAUACUUACAAGACAUUUAUUGCAUAGUCAAACCAUGGAUCCAAAGAAACAAAUCAAUAAGCUAAAUCAAGAUGUGCAUGUGUGGCGAAUGAAUGGUGUAUGGUGAUAAUGGUGAUAACAAUGGUGGAAACAAUGGUGGUGGAAGUCUAAUUCUACUUUACUCUUUUGAGGGGAUACAUACCUUCCUUGCUUUUGAAACUUUAUGAGGAGAAUGAGAUGCUCUUCUUUUUCUUGUCUCUCAGGUGGGCAUCUUGCAACCCUAAUUCUACUGUCGGACACUUGUCCAUUUUUACCUCUCGUCUCACUUUUUUUUUCCUUCUUUCGAGGUUCCGAGCACUUGCUCCUUUUUAUUUCCUCGUAUCUCUUUUUUUUUCAGAGCACUCAUCUCAUGAGAUAAUAUAGCAAGUGGUAGUAACAAGAUAACUUGAGCAUUUAUUUUACAAAGGGAAAAAUAGAAAUAUUUUUUUUUUGGUUAUUCUCUCCCGGAUUAGGAGUAGAAUAUUUUUGGGUGAUUCUGGAGAUGGAAAUGGAUGGAUAUAUGUGAAUGGUACUUCCGGAGUAGAAGUAGCAUAUAUGAGUGAACGUGCAAGUGAAUCUUGAUUUAACCACAUGACAAGCUCCUAAGGGUCUACACAGCUUGACCACACUCAAUGCUCAUAAGCAGUAAAUAAUAAAUGUGUGGUUCAAAGUCUAGCAAGCAUGCAUAUAUGGCUGUGGUAGGAAUUUAAGCUCUCAUCAUACAGGAACUCAUCAUGCAACAUUUUAAAGAUUUUCAAAGAUAAAAUUCUCCAGAAUUCUAGCAUCUCUAGGAACAGAUAAACAGUAGCUCAACCUUCCCAUAUCAUAUCCGUUAACAACUUA